rnacentral:lncRNA from 1 species
UGCUUUCUUUGUGCUUUCUGGAAUAUCCAGAAAGGUCGUACAUCUAGAAAUGUUCCCCUCUUUCUUUUCACUUCUAUCACUGCAAUUUCCUCCUCUGAACAUUGCAUUUAUUGCCUCUUCUCCUAACAGGAACAGUUAGAAUCAAGAUGUGCCAGCAUCAGUAUUGCACAGGGUUCUGUAAUAACCAGACCCUGUGCUUAUACCCAGAGAUGCCUUAACCCUUACUAAGAUCUAUGGUCUAAUUCUGAACUUACUGAAGUCUUCCCGUAAGCAACACCAAACAUCCCUUGAUGUCAAUGACAGUCUAUGAAUGCUCAACAACAACUUUAAAAUUACUCAAUGCAGACUCAGAUGAGAUCAGUACCAGCUGGGGUUUUGCUGGGCCAUUGUACAGGUGGCCAGGACCAGUGAGUUUAGUGGAAUGCCUGAAGCGUGCCAGCACAAGAGGCACAGCUAAAAGAACUGCUGCCACCAGCUGAAGCACUGAGCUCCACGGCCUGGAAGCAGCACCAGUUGGUACUUGGCUUCUCAUUAAGUAGGAAGUCAUUCCAUUUCUCUUCCAAUAUUUGCUGCCAUAGACCUCAAAUAUAAUUCCUUCUGAACAGGAAAGCACUCCACAGAUGAAUCAGUUCCUUCUGCGACGACGGCAAACUGCUCUGCUUCAUAAUUGAUUUUCCACAGACAAUUGAUUUAAACUUUUCAAACCCCUCAUGAUGGCAGGAUUAGAUCUGAGCCUUUACAGUGCCCUACAGUUUGCAGGGCAAGCUCCGAGCUACGCUGCUCUUUCACUGAGCUCUGCUUAAUUGGAUGACGGGAACAGAGUUCAAGGGCGAGCCAACAGAAAGUAUUUUAUUUAAACAUAGCCCUAAAGUACCUGUAAUGAGAAAGUGUCCCUCACUCCCACAUAUAAAUGACUCGAGUAAUGUUUCGAUUCCAUUUACCUCUCUUAGCUAGGUGGUUAAUACAGAGACCUGAUUUAUUUUAUCCUAUAGUUCAAGGAAAUGUGUUUAUUAUGAGUUCCAUUAUAAUAUACUUAGCACAGCCCUUUCAAGUGAUGGCCAGAGGUUUAUUUAGGAACUAAUUCAGCAACAGCUGAGGUUAAAAGGAAGCUCUCAGAUGUUGGUGGAAACUGCAUUGGACCUUUGCUGACUGUCACAGGUAAAAAUGAUCGGUAUUAGAGAUGAGGGAAAGUGAUCAAACAUCUUUACAUGCAGUUUAUUGACACAAACGGCAUCACAUCUCACAGUGCAUUGCUUCCAAUCCGUUUUUGUCUUAGGUUAUGUGGGUUAUGUGUGCCUGCAGGGCUUGGCACUGGCCCUGACCCUGCUCCCUGCUGCACACCAGGCUGCCCCUGUGCUCAGCUCUACCCCAUCCCUCUGCCAUGAGCACCCCAGGACAGAGCUGUCUCCUGCACCUCCCAAGGCCUGGUCUAUGAGCUCACUUUCUGAAGGCAGAUUAUUAUGUUCAGGGAUGAAUAAACACUGCGUGCCACACUCAUGCAUUCCUAUUUCCUAGGAGUGUAACCCAGAAAUGAGGCUUGGUGCUUGGAAAGGAAAACAAGCAGCGGAAAUUUCGACCGUUCUUUUCCAUUUGCAAACAGAGCCAGCUCUUGUUUGGUAAUGCCACCCCAGGGACACCGAGCAUCUGCCUUUGGGCAGAGCUGGGAUUAACUCAGAACUGUGAUUAAUCACCACCGCCUUACCUGACCUGUCAGCCCAACAGCACUGCCGUGUGGGCAGUGAUGCUGCUGCUGGGAGGGAGUGAUGCUGCCACAGGUCCCCAGCAGCUGAGCCAUGCUCAGCCCAAAGAGAUGUGGGGGCACAGGGAGGGAGGCAGCUCCUCCUGCUCCGGAUGUGGGGCUGCAAUGUGUGGUCUUGUCCCAGGCCCAGCAAGGAGCCCUUGGGCUGACAUCAGAGCAGAACCAACAAAAUGAAGGCAAACAGGAUGAGAAAUAGACUGCUUUGCAUUCGGAGCUCCAGCAAACCAACACUGCAGGAUAUAUCAC